CAAUUCUACAGCUGCUUCCCACCCUUCCCCUCCAUGGAUGCUCCACGUAACUCUACCAAUUAAGGUACUUUGGUGGCAAGUGGUUUUCCUAUGGUAAAAGGUCUCCUGAAGGACACCUUGCUGGGAAGGUCUUCUCUCUGACAUCCACUCAUGAAGCUCUACGACUUCCUAAGGAAGUUUGCAACAAUCCAGAAUGCCACAGCACAAAUUCUGUG
rnacentral:lncRNA from 1 species